rnacentral:lncRNA from 1 species
CCCAUAUUGACAUGUCUGUAUUCCAGCAACGACGUGGGGUUCUGUUGGAUACUGGCCGUGCCGCCUGCAAUGCAUGGAUGGCGCGCCGCUUCCGUGCUGGUGGCGGCGCUGUGGGAUCGUUGCUGUUAGUGAUGUCGUGGCUUUUCUCAAUCUCUGUUUUCUAUGUACUAAUGUUUUCUACCGUACUAUGAUCCGGCACCAUUUUUUGUCGCCUUUGCCUCUUGCCAUUUUGUAUCCGGAUCCUGCUCAUGGGCUUUGGGGGCUAGGGCUGGGUUGGGCCUUCCUGCCUGAAUGUUUCCUUAUUUUUAUGUUCUCUUAUUCUUCUAUGUAGGCCCCUCCUUGUACUACCAAUG